rfam:Eutrema salsugineum unplaced genomic scaffold scaffold_23, whole genome shotgun sequence.
AACCCAUGAUGUGGACAUUGGUUGGUGUAACUCAUAAACAUCUCCCAAGCUUCCCCAAAGCUUUCAUUGUUGUACUGGGUAAACCUUGAUGGUUUCUCACCUU